GGCGCCAAAGGGAACACCUUCAAAACUUAUUUUUCUCACGAUGAGCUUGUUCCAGGAUAAUUGGCUGCACAUAAGUUCACGUCUCCACAACCUUUUCCUCACCGUCACAUCCAUUAGACCGAACCUUCACAGACCACAUCCAAAAAGGCGGUGGUAGGGGCCCUCCUAAUGGAGGCCUCAGAGGAUGUGGUGCACAAAGACAGAGGUUUAUCUUUGCGCCCAGGUCCAUUAGAAAAUGAGACCCUUGUACAGAACAGCAAUUUGCUGGAGGUGAUGCAUCCCGAGUACAGGCAUGGCGGGAAGGGGCUGGAGGUGCUGCUGUGCUCAGGGUACAGGAACAGCAUCGACCGCUUCUCUGGGCUGUACUUCUUGCUGGCACAAGACAUGUGCCCUGGCACAGCUCACCCUGGGGAGCGGGUAAGGCAGUAAGCUGUACCUCCUUGCUGGGUACAGCACUAGAGCAAGGCUCCCCUGAGCAGGAUUGCUUCUUUUCAUGUGUGAGAACAGCUCACCCACAGCAAUGCUGUGUGUCCAGGACACCACAGCCGGUCAGCUCCAGGGCACCUUGACGGACUCCUCUGUCCCACUGCAGCCCCUUGGCAGCUCACCCUCCCUCCCAUCUGGCCGGGAGCAUGAAGCAGGAAGGAAGACGGAAAUCAGGAGGCUUUGCAGGGCACAAGGGCAUCCCAGGGCGCCCUGAAAGGAUGCCAGCAGUGCCUGUGGGUUGAGGAGUUAGGGCUGCAGAGCUGGCAACAGAGGCAGGAAAAGUACAGGCAGAGCAGGCUGGGCAGUGCUGGCAGCCGGCGCUGCGGGAGCGGCGUGGAGAGUACUGCUGAUGCAGCAGAAGGUGUCUCGGCGGGCGGCUGUGAGGGUACAGCGAGGCGACGAGCAGGGCUGGAGGAUGGGUAUGGCUAGGUGACAGAUGUGGCUUGGUGAGCAGAGCUGCAGGAGCUGGUGACCAGGCAAGCGGUGUGCUGAAACAGGAGCGGGAGCGCUGCGUCUGCUGGAGCCUUGCUAAUUGUGAGGGGGGUGGCACCCGUACCCCGACGCAGGGAAAGGUUAUUAAGUGUGGAGGACUCCUCCCUGGGAUGCUCAGGUGUCUGACAAGUUUAAUUCCAAAACGGUGGGUAAAGUAGAGAUGGGUUUGGCCAAACUGCCAUUGUGAAUUCCCCCAGAGUGGCCCUAAAUCCUUUUGGGGGCAGAGAGGCUGGGAAGAGCAGCGCUACCCACCUGGGAGACUUGGCCUGGAAAUACAAAAGGGCUUCUGUGACCACGGGCACAAACAGGGUGUGCUGGGCAGGCAGGUACCCAGCUGCCUCUGUGUUGCUAUGUCCCUGCAGCCUCUGCCUCCCUGCUGAGCAUCUCCGCAGAGGCAGGGGCCGUGCUGCCCACCCCACUGCACACCCGGCCCCAGCCGUGCCCUGCGGGAGCGGGAUGCUGCCUGUCCCCGGAGUCUGAUGGAGCCGUCACACUUGGCAGCUCCGGCCCGUCUCCUCAGCUGAGUGAUCCGGUGAGACACCCGCCGCUGCCGUCGCCUGGGACAGGCUCUGCUGUCCCCCAGCCCGGCCUCGGGAGCUGCGUGUGCCACGGCAAGGAAGGGCACUCACAGCAGCUGGCUCUGGAAUUUUGGCACGGCGCUUACAUGUCCGGCAUGGGACACGGGGAUACUGUGGCUCAGCGGAAACUUGUUUUGCUGAGUGCAGCACAAGGCUGCUGUGUCUGGUUUCAGGGAAGGUGAGCACCCUCUGCUCGGACACUGUCACCUCCCAGGGGCACAGGAAGAAGGGCUCAGGGGUCCUGCGAGCUGGCUCGCCACCUGCCAGGGGAUCACAGCAGCUGCCAGGCCACUGUGUAUCCCUCACUCCCUCUCACCUCGCACUAACGGAGCUGGGAGGGUUAAAAUGCCAGGCUGCUCUCCGAGCAGGGCUCCUGCUUCCCUCCACGUGGGUAUGGAGCAGGGUAGGGCUGAGCAGAGCAGUUGGGCUGCAGCCUCCUGGCUCAAUGCAGCAGGCGCUGUGCUGGCCCCGCUGCCCUGGAGCAUCCUGCCAGGGACAGACCCAGAACGGGAGGAGAGCCCCGGCCCCCUCCCGAGCCUCCCGGAGGCAGGGGAUGCUGGGCUCCUGGACCAGAGCCCUCCUGCCGAUGGAGGAGGUGGCAACGCUGCAACAGAGCUUCCCAUCAGCACCUUAUAUUUACUGCAAGGUCCUCUGGCUAUGACCUUUGAAGACAAGGUGGCCCAGCAGCCCGGGAUCUGGCAGCGGCAGCAGGGACUCGCGGUGAUCAGACACUCCGCAGGACUGUCCCGGCUGGGCCAGGCGUGCCGGGCUGGGAGCUGAGCGAGAGGUCGUGGACACACAGACUGCGGGCAGUUUCUAACUUUCCCUGUGGUGGAGGAGGGCUGGAGAGCAGGAGCAAACACAAGGAGAAGGCUCUGGACCCCACAGAAUGCAUGCGACUGCUUCCAGCUGGUCCCAGGACCUCUCAGCAGAUCCCCAGCGGGACUCACCAGCUCCUCAGAGCAGUUCCAGCACUCCUGGUACGUCCAGUUGAGAGAGAACUGCUUGUUCUCCACCUUGUAGCAGGAGUUGAAGGUGCAGGAGAGCUUCACAGAGGAGCCAUUCAGCGCGUUGAUGGUGGGGGGAGCCAUGACCUCCAUGCCCAACCCCGUGGGCGCUGCACGGGCACAGAGAAUGAGAACAGGCUCUCCUGAAGCAAAGGCAGCCCACCCAGAGCUCCAGGACAGCGUGAACAGCUCUUCAAAGAGGUGAUACGUUCCUGUUUCCAAUCAAUACAGACCCAAACCUGCUGACACACGCUGCUUG